CUAUUGGAAAUCAUCCUUCUCUGCUUUCUUUCAUUUAUUAUACUUAGUUGUUGAUCAUCUGCUUCAUCUGAAGUUGAAUUGCAGCUGAAAGAUGCCAUCUGCGGGUUGAAGUCUUGAAUCUGGGGAUUGAUCUGAAGGUGGCACAAAGGGUUUGAAAUUCUGCUAAGGUUGAAAGAAGGCAUGUUAUUGUUGUUCAAGCCAAAAUGAGAAGGGUAUUGAGUUGGAUUUGAAGUUCUGGACCUGAUCAUAUAAUAUUGGUGUUGGAAGGCGAAGGCAAACAUCCAGGAGAGGGGUUUUAUAGGAUGGUAAAAAUGUUGCGGUCCCAUUUCUUAAACAGUGAAGUUUCUUAAAGACAAGACUACUCGAAUAUGAUGCUGAAUGCGUGCAUAAGUUGUGUUGUAUUACAUUUCUGCAUUGAUACCAAAACUUACGGAUAUAUGUAUACAUCUAACCUUUACUUCUGUCCAAUAUGGUCAUUUGGGACUUACGAAUUGUAUCUGAUCUGAUGUAUGCAGGUCCAAAAGAUAUUGGAAAUUUAAGUGUUGUGGAUAAUUGGUGACAUCAAACAAUGCUCACAUCACAUACACAUGCGUGCACACAGAAUAUCAUGGAGAGUAUCAUUAUUCAAAAGCUAGAAAGUUUUUGGAAGAGAAAAAAGCAAUUGAAUAAUACGGAUGAAGAAGUCAAUUUAAAAUUGCUAGUUGUUGCAAAGCAAGCUAACUUGACAUCUUUAUUACUCUGCAGUGGUUCUUGCCCAACAAGGUGCAGUGACGUAAAGAUAUAGGAGAACGAGGCCAUGGGAGGAAAGAGGUAAGGGAAGGAAAGUCCUUUCUAUAAGUGGGACAAGUCCUUUCUAUAAGUGGAACAAAUAAAAAAUUAAUGACUCAACAACCACUUUCAUGUGAUCCAUUUUGGAAAAAAUAACACAAUUUGUUUCUUUUAUUUCAAAGUUAUAUUUGAUUAUCUCAAAUCACGGACCAUAGUUAUAAUGGCACUUUGAUGGAAGGAUUCUAGUUGGAGGGAUUCUUUUAAUCUGAUCUAAUGUGGGGAAAAAAAAAAAAAAUUCAUACAGGCAGUUGCUUGUUUCUCCACAAAAUUCUCUGGCAUUUUAGUUUAAUUACUUGUAAAGGCUUGAUCAAAGUUGAAUUGUCCAGUACGCUGUCUUGUCAAAUAAUAUAUAGAUAUGCGUAAGUUGCAAUGGAAUUAAAAGGACAAAACUCAAGUAAGAACUAUUACAGUAGUUUUGUCUGAGGAAACUAACUUAGUGGAUUGGCGAUUUCUCAUAUAACUGGUACUUCAUAACUGGAAUGCAGUGGAAGGCUAAACUAGAAUGGCUUUGUCUCCUGAAAUAUGUUACGGGAGAAAGUAAAUAGUAAAAGUUUUUAAAGUCCUGAGGUUUGCCAGUCAAAAAAGUUUUUGGACAUGUACUAACUGGGGAAUCCAAAUCUUCUAAGCUUUUGCAGUAGGAAAGAAAGGUUUAAAGAUUAUAGGGGUGUUGUGGCUGAUGAUCCCAUUGCUUUCCCAAAAAGAAAAUAAAAGCAUAACUAAGAAUGUCCUGCAUUGCUGGUUUUGUCUGCUGAAAUAUGUUACAGGGGAAUUCAGAAAGUAAAGAGUAAAAGUUUAUCAAGUCCUGAGGUGUGCCGUGGCAGUCAAAAAGUUUUUGGACAUGUACUAACUGGGGAAUCCAAAUCUUCUAAGCUUUUGCAGUGGGGAAGAAAGCUUAAAAGAUUAUAGGGGUAUUAUGGUGGUUGAUCCCAUAGCUUUACCAAACAGAAAAUAAAAACAUAAGAAAGAAUAUCCUGCAUUGCACCAUAUCAUAUUUGGGACUCAAAACUCGCUCUUCUCCUCCUCCUUGUUGUUUCUUUAUAUGUAUACAUAUAUAUAUAAUCAUCUGUUCCUUGGGUUUUUGUUGAUUUAGAUAAGUUGAUACUGAAUGUUGGCCACACAAGUUAUAAAGUUCUAUGGUAUGUAUAAAUUCGCGUUACAAUUAAUGUUGGUGGGAGGAUGAUAAGGGGAAAGAUAUGAAUGUACUUUGAAAUGUAGUCUUCCACUAAUAAAAGGAACUUUGUAUGCAUCCAGAGCCAAAAGCCUAUGGAGGCAAAUGCUCUCUCCCUACUUCAUGUAUGUUGGCCAAGUUGAGUGGGCUGAACGGUCAAAAAAUUCAUGAGACAGAUAUUGACUCAUA